UACGUAGGGGGCAAGCGUUAUCCGGAUUUACUGGGUGUAAAGGGAGCGUAGACGGCGAUGCAAGUCUGAAGUGAAAGGCGGGGGCCCAGCCCCCGGACUGCUUUGGAAACUGUAUGGCUGGAGUGCAGGAGAGGUAAGUGGAAUUCCUAGUGUAGCGGUGAAAUGCGUAGAUAUUAGGAGGAACACCAGUGGCGAAGGCGGCUUACUGGACUGUAACUGACGUUGAGGCUCGAAAGCGUGGGGAGCAAACAGG
rnacentral:rRNA from 1 species